GCUCAACCGGGGAGGGUCAUUGGAAACUGGGGAACUUGAGUGCAGAAGAGGAGAGUGGAAUUCCACGUGUAGCGGUGUAAUGCGUAGAGAUGUGGAGGAACACCAGUGGCGAAGGCGACUCUCUGGUCUGUAACUGACGCUGAGGCGCGAAAGCGUGGGGAGCGAACAGGAUUAGAUACCCUGGUAGUCCACGCCGUAAACGAUGAGUGCUAAGUGUUAGAGGGUUUCCGCCCUUUAGUGCUGCAGCAAACGCAUUAAGCACUCCGCCUGGGGAGUACGGUCGCAAGACUGAAACUCAAAGGAAUUGACGGGGGCCCGCACAAGCGGUGGAGCAUGUGGUUUAAUUCGAAGCAACGCGAAGAACCUUACCAGGUCUUGACAUCCUCUGACAACCCUAGAGAUAGGGCUUCCCCUUCGGGGGCAGAGUGACAGGUGGUGCAUGGUUGUCGUCAGCUCGUGUCGUGAGAUGUUGGGUUAAGUCCCGCAACGAGCGCAACCCUUGAUCUUAGUUGCCAGCAUUCAGUUGGGCACUCUAAGGUGACUGCCGGUGACAAACCGGAGGAAGGUGGGGAUGACGUCAAAUCAUCAUGCCCCUUAUGACCUGGGCUACACACGUGCUACAAUGGGCAGAACAAAG
rnacentral:rRNA from 1 species